GAUAAACGCUGGCGGCGCACAUAAGACAUGCAAGUCGAACGAACUUAACUCAUUCUUUUAGUUUGAGAGCGGUUAGUGGCGGACUGGUGAGUAACACGUAAGCAACCUGCCUAUCAGAGGGGAAUAACAGUGAGAAAUCAUUGCUAAUACCGCAUAUGCUAACAGUAUCGCAUGAUACAGUUAGGAAAGGAGUAAUCCACUGGUAGAUGGGCUUGCGUCUGAUUAGCUAGUUGGUGGGGUAACGGCCUACCAAGGCGACGAUCAGUAGCCGGACUGAGAGGUUGAACGGCCACAUUGGGACUGAGAUACGGCCCAGACUCCUACGGGAGGCAGCAGUCGGGAAUAUUGCGCAAUGGAGGAAACUCUGACGCAGUGACGCCGCGUAUAGGAAGAAGGUUUUCGGAUUGUAAACUAUUGUCGUUAGGGAAGAUACAAGACAGUACCUAAGGAGGAAGCCCCGGCUAACUAUGUGCCAGCAGCCGCGGUAAUACAUAGGGGGCAAGCGUUAUCCGGAUUUAUUGGGUGUAAAGGGUGCGUAGACGGAGAAACAAGUUGGUUGUGAAAUCCCUCGGCUCAACUGAGGAACUGCAACCAAAACUAUUUCCCUUGAGUGUCGGAGAGGAAAGUGGAAUUCCUAGUGUAGCGGUGAAAUGCGUAGAUAUUAGGAGGAACACCAGUGGCGAAGGCGACUUUCUGGACGAUAACUGACGUUGAGGCACGAAAGUGUGGGGAGCAAACAGGAUUAGAUACCCUGGUAGUCCACACUGUAAACGAUGGAUACUAGGUGUAGGGUGUAUUAAGCACUCUGUGCCGCCGCUAACGCAUUAAGUAUCCCACCUGGGGAGUACGACCGCAAGGUUGAAACUCAAAGGAAUUGACGGGGGCCCGCACAAGCAGUGGAGUAUGUGGUUUAAUUCGAAGCAACGCGAAGAACCUUACCAGGGCUUGACAUAUACCGGAAUAUACUAGAGAUAGUAUAGUCCUUCGGGACUGGUAUACAGGUGGUGCAUGGUUGUCGUCAGCUCGUGUCGUGAGAUGUUGGGUUAAGUCCCGCAACGAGCGCAACCCCUAUCGUUAGUUGCUAGCAGGUAAAGCUGAGAACUCUAGCGAGACUGCCGGUGAUAAAUCGGAGGAAGGUGGGGAUGACGUCAAAUCAUCAUGCCCUUUAUGUCCUGGGCUACACACGUACUACAAUGGCCGUAACAGAGGGAAGCGAAAUAGUGAUAUGGAGCAAAACCCUAAAAGCGGUCUCAGUUCGGAUUGAAGGCUGAAAUUCGCCUUCAUGAAGCUGGAAUUGCUAGUAAUGGCAGGUCAGCAUACUGCCGUGAAUACGUUCCCGGGCCUUGUACACACCGCCCGUCACACCAUGAGAGUUGGAAAUACCCGAAGCCUGUGAGCUAACUAAUAGAGGCAGCAGUCGAAGGUAGAGCCAAUGAUUGGGGUGAAGUCGUAACAAGGUAGCCGUAUCGGAAGGUGCGGCUGGAUCACCUCCUUUCUAAGGAGAAUAUUACUCUUAAAAAUAUUUAUUGUUUAUUUUUCAAUGUACUUUAAAUAGUACAUUGAAAUUAGAUAUUACUUACCUAAAAUAUGGGGGUAUAGCUCAGUUUGGCUAGAGCGCCUGCCUUGCAAGCAGGAGGUCAGGAGUUCGACUCUCCUUACCUCCACCAUAGGUAAGAAAUUAUCUAAUAAUAGCACAUUGAAAAAUAUAUAGAUAAAUGCGAAAAAAAGUUGGUAAAACUAGCAUGCUAGAAAUAGUAUGUAAAAACAAUUAAACCGAAAUGAACAAAUUAAUUUGUAAACAUUUGAUUAACCGUAAAUAAUUAUUGCACAGCAGAAACGAGUUUUACAAGGCGUACGAAGUUUAAAAAGCAAAGGAGCAUAGGUUACUAUGUGACUGGUUUUUAAACGAGAACAACGAAGUAAAACGAAGUUAAUGCGAAGCAAGAAGGUUAAGCUACUAAGAGCAUAAGGUGAAUGACUUGGCACCAAGAGCCGAAGAAAGACGUGAUAAGCUGCGAAAAGCCACGGGGAGAAGCAAAUAUUCUACGAUCCGUGGAUAUCUGAAUGAGGAAACUCAGCUAGUGAAAAAAGACUAGUUACCUAUACGUAAGUAAAGUAGCGUAUAAGGAGGGAACGUAGGGAACUGAAACAUCUUAGUACCUACAGGAAGAGAAAGAAAAAUCGAUUCCUUGAGUAGUGGCGAGCGAAAGAGGAAGAGCCUAAACUGAGAGUAGUAAUACUUUCAGGGUUCGGACUGCAUAAUUGAUUUAACAAAUCUAAUAGAACUGUUUGGAAAAGCAGACCAAAGAUAGUGAAAGUCUAGUAUAUGAAAGAUGAGUUAACAUGGCAGUAUCCAGAGUAGUGCAAGACACGUGAAAUCUUGUAUGAAAGAGCGGGGACCAUCCCGUAAGGCUAAAUACUACUUGGUGACCGAUAGUGGAGC
rnacentral:rRNA from 1 species